ACUCGGCGCCCCCCACCCAUCCCGGCGCGCUUGGAGAUAGACGUUUUCUUUGUCCUUUUGUCAGCUCUUGGGGGCCCCCGAACCCCCAGGCCCCCACUGCAGCGGGGGGGAUCCGGACCGGCCGGCCCUCCCCUCCAACACCACUGCGACCCCUGCCCCGCGGCCUGGACCCGCGACUCGUCCUGUUCUGGGCUGGACAGGAGGCCGGAGAGGACUCGGGCGCCCAAGGUGGAAACUGAGACCCAGAGAGCCGUGACUUGACUGAUCCCACAGCCAGGAAAUGGUGGAGCCUGGAUUUGAACCCCAGCUUUUAAGAAGAAGGUGCCACUGUCCUGGAAGAACUCUCAGGACAGCAUUAGUGUCUCAGGGAUCCCCCUAAUCGGAGGGGCCUUAAGCCUAAUCAUGAUUGUCACUGAAGAUCCAGGAGGGCUUCCUGGAGGAGGAGGCAGCUCCAUUCUGAAAUGCCAAGGGUACAGCUUUAUUGGGACAGCCAGUGUCUCUGAAUAUGUAGGUUUUGCACAGAGCUUGUACUGCCCCAGGGCCUGUACACUGCCUGUCCCCUCUGCCUUGUGCACUCUUUCCCUAGAUGUCCAAAUGGCUCCUUUCCUCACCUACCCCAAAUCUCAAUUCCAGUGUUUCCCCAGCCUCCCCUCAUUUCAGUAAUCACUCUGCAGUGAGCUAGGAUUGCGCCACUGCACUCCAGCUUGGAUAAGAGAACAAGACCCUGUCUCUUAACUAAAUACAUAAAUAAAAAUAAUUCCCCUCUUCAUCCCUCUUUACCCUGUUUUGAUGGUUUUGUUCAACUUUUCACCAAUAGGACUUUCUCUUAUGCAUUUACUCGUUUCUCUUCCAAUCCCUCCC
rnacentral:lncRNA from 1 species